GACUGAGUGGCGGACGGGUGAGUAACGCGUGAGUAACCUGCCCUUCAGAGGGGGAUAGCGUUUGGAAACGAACGGUAAUACCGCAUAAUGUAUUUUGACCGCAUGAUCGAAAUACCAAAGAUUUAUCGCUGAAGGAUGGACUCGCGUCUGAUUAGGUAGUUGGUGGGGUAACGGCCUACCAAGCCGACGAUCAGUAGCCGGACUGAGAGGUUGAUCGGCCACAUUGGGACUGAGACACGGCCCAGACUCC
rnacentral:rRNA from 1 species